rnacentral:rRNA from 1 species
GCCUCCCUCCGCCGCCAUCAGACUCCUACGGGGGCAGGCAGUGGGGAAUAGUUGGACAAUGGGCGCAAGCCUGAUCCAGCCAUGCCGCGUGAGUGAUGAAGGCCCUAGGGUUGUAAAGGCUACUUUUGUGUCGGGAAGAGUAAAUGACGGUACCGCAAGAAUAAGCCCCGGCUAACCUUCGUGCCAGCAGCCGCGGUAAUC